rnacentral:rRNA from 1 species
UCCACGCCGUAAACGAUGUUCACUCGCUGUUUGCGAUACACAGCAAGCGGCUAAGCGAAAGCAUUAAGUGAACCACCUGGGGAGUACGAUCGCAAGGUUGAGACUCAAAGGAAUUGACGGGGGCCCGCACAAGCGGAGGAACAUGUGGUUUAAUUCGAUGAUACGCGAGGAACCUUACCUGGGCUUAAAUGUAGAUUGCAUAGGGCAGAAAUGCCCUUUCCCCGGGCUGACU